GACGAACGCUGGCGGCGUGCUUAACACAUGCAAGUCGAACGAUGAAGCCGGAGCUUGCUCUGGUGAAUUAGUGGCGAACGGGUGAGUAACACGUGAGUAACCUGCCCUUGACUCUGGGAUAACUGCUAGAAAUGGUAGCUAAUACCGGAUACGACCCUCGGAGGCAUCUCCAGGGGGUGGAAAGAAUUUCGGUCAAGGAUGGACUCGCGGCCUAUCAGCUAGUUGGUGAGGUAACGGCUCACCAAGGCGACGACGGGUAGCCGGCCUGAGAGGGUGACCGUCCACGCUGGGACUGAGACACGGCCCAGACUCCUACGGGAGGCAGCAGUGGGGAAUAUUGCACAAUGGGCGCAAGUCUGAUGCAGCAACGCCGCGUGAGGGAUGACGGCCUUCGGGUUGUAAACCUCUUUUAGUAGGGAAGAAGCGAAAGUGACGGUACCUGCAGAAAAAGCACCGGCUAACUACGUGCCAGCAGCCGCGGUAA
rnacentral:rRNA from 1 species